rnacentral:misc_RNA from 1 species
GAGAACUUCAUUACCGACAGCGAUGCAGGUGAUUUUAGUAGCAGGUAAGUAAGGUUGGACAUUAUUUUUAACCCAUGAUUGAGCUUUAGAAGGAUCUUUCAUCUUGGCAAGGUACUCAUUGCCAAGACUGACGAUGAACUCAACGCCGGUGUUAGCAAAGGCUUUGAGGACAUGUGGGUCAGCAUCAUAGAGCUUGAUUCUGGUAGCUCCGAUGGAUUUGACUAAUGGUACCACGUUUUCCGGUAAGGGCAGAUUGUUGGCAAUUUGCCCGUAGUUGAUACCUAGAGGAGCCACCAUAGUUGGAGUAAAAAACAGCAGAAAAAGGAGAAGAGAAGAGGAGAUGGGAUUGGGAUUGGAUUCCAUCAUCAAAUGACUCAAGGAAGGAAGGAGCUAAAGGAGAAA